GAUGAACGCUGGCGGCGUGCCUAAUACAUGCAAGUCGAGCGAACAGACGAGUAGCUUGCUCCUCUGACGUUAGCGGCGGACGGGUGAGUAACACGUGGAUCACCUACCUAUAAGACUGGGAUAACUUCGGGAAACCGGAGCUACUACCGGAUAAUAUAUUGAACCGCAUGGUUCAAUAGUGAAAGACGGUUUUGCUGUCACUUAUAGAUGGAUCCGCGCCGCAUUAGCUAGUUGGUAAGGUAACGGCUUACCAAGGCGACGAUGCGUAGCCGACCUGAGAGGGUGGACGAGCACACUAGAACUGAGACACGGUCCAGACUCCUACGGGAGGCAGCAGUAGGGAAUCUUACGCGAUGGGCGAAAGCCUGACGGAGCAACGCCGAGUGAGUGAUGAAGGUCUGCGGAUCGUAAAGCUAUGUUAUUAGGGAGGAACAAAUGUGUAAGUAGCUAUGCACGUCUUGACGGUACCUAAUCAGAAAGCCACGGCUAACUACGUG
rnacentral:rRNA from 1 species